UACGAAGGGGGCUAGCGUUGUUCGGAAUCACUGGGCGUAAAGGGCGCGUAGGCGGCUUUGUAAGUCGGGGGUGAAAGCCUGUGGCUCAACCACAGAAUUGCCUUCGAUACUGCAUGGCUUGAGACCGGAAGAGGUAAGUGGAACUGCGAGUUGUAGAGGUGAAAUUCGUAGAUAUUCGCAAGAACACCAGUGGCGAAGGCGGCUUACUGGUCCGGUUCUG
rnacentral:rRNA from 1 species